UACGAAGGGGGCUAGCGUUGUUCGGAAUUACUGGGCGUAAAGCGCGUGUAGGCGGGUCUUUAAGUCAGGGGUGAAAUGCCAAGGCUCAACCUUGGAACUGCCUUUGAUACUGGAGAUCUUGAGUCCGGGAGAGGUGAGUGGAACUCCGAGUGUAGAGGUGAAAUUCGUAGAUAUUCGGAAGAACACCAGUGGCGAAGGCGGCUCACUGGCCCGGUACUGACGCUCAGGUGCGAAAGCGUGGGGAGCAAACAGG
rnacentral:rRNA from 1 species